rnacentral:rRNA from 1 species
GCCUGUCCUAAAAUCGAUAACCCACGAUCAACCUCACCCGCCUUUGCAACAACAGCCUAUAUACCUCCGUCGCCAGCCCGCCUGAAAACAGAAAAAUAGCGAGUGCAACAACUAAUCAUUAAUACGACAGGUCACGGUGUAGCUUAUACGCGGGGCAGUGAUGGGCUACAUUUCUUAAUAUAAUAUAUACCUACCCCGCCAUGAAAUCUGCGGAACAAGGUGGAUUUAGCAGUAAGUUAGGCAAGAAAGCCUAUCUGAAACGCGCUCUGAAAUG